AUUAAACAUCUGUGAGAGAGUUGCUGUAAGGGCUGGGUCCCAAUAUUUUUACUACUUUGGUUACAGGAGUAGAUAACUGAGCUGUCUCAAACCACAAGGACUGAAACCUCACUUGAAGUAAAAAUAUUGGAAAACAAAGCCAAAGUAUUCAUGAAAGGUCCAGGGAGAAGGCAAAUACACAGAGACUGAAGAAUGAUAUUGAGACAAUUGCUCGGAGAACUUUUUUUUUUCAAAAUGGCUGUCUCAUAUGGUUCCAUGAGACUGAUGCUACAGUGAAGAAGACCACCAUGUCCACUCACCUGCAGCUCUGCACUUCCUGACAGUAUGUAAGGGGCCACCAACCUGCCUCUAAUUGUGUUUCCACUUCAGCUGAGAACCAAGGAAGGUAGUGAUCAUUUUGAACGAGGGGAAUUCUACUUAUUAUUCUUUGCCAGAGAAUGAUGCAUGAAUUUCUUCUUCAGGAAAUGUCAGUUGUGGAAAAUGAUGGCAAAAAAACCUGUCUGCACCAGUUAUUCAACAAGGAAGGGAGAAAUGAGUGAUGUCUGUGCUGGGGUAUAAAAUUAUGAAGGCAGAAGAGUGGUUUUUAAGGAGGGGCAUGUCUGCAAAGGAGCAUGGAGGACAGGAGAACAGGGAAAUU